GACGAACGCUGGCGGCGUGCUUAACACAUGCAAGUCGAACGAAAAGAGGGAAAGAGCCUGCUCUUUCCGGAAUUGAGUGGCAAACGGGUGAGUAACACGUAAACAACCUGCCUUCAGGAUGGGGACAACAGACGGAAACGACUGCUAAUACCGAAUAAGUUCCAAGAGCCGCAUGGCCCAUGGAAGAAAAGGUGGCCUCUACCUGUAAGCUAUCGCCUGAAGAGGGGUUUGCGUCUGAUUAGCUGGUUGGAGGGGUAACGGCCCACCAAGGCGACGAUCAGUAGCCGGUCUGAGAGGAUGAACGGCCACACUGGAACUGAGACACGGCCCAGACUCCUACGGGAGGCAGCAGUGGGGAAUCUUCCGCAAUGGGCGAAAGCCUGACGGAGCAACGCCGCGUGAGUGAUGACGGCCUUCGGGUUGUAAAACUCUGUGAUCCGGGACGAAAAGGCAGAGUGCGAAGAACAAACUGCAUUGACGGUACCGGAAAAGCAAGCCACGGCUAACUACGUG
rnacentral:rRNA from 1 species